UUGGAGACCAUCCGUUUGGGUGGCAAAGAAGAACCAAUUGGAGGCCAUCAUAAAUUGUGUUUGUUACUUUGUCAAAUUUGAAAUUCCAUGCCUAAAAUCUCUAAUAUUUCCCUUCAGCAUCGUCAUUUACAAUUCCAUGAUCAAAGCACGUUCCUAAUCUGAAAGCCCAUUUGUUGCUUUGUCGAUUUAUAACACGAUGGGGGUGCAAGAAAAUGCCUGGGCGACAAGUUUACUUACCCUUUUGUGUUGAAGGCUUGCGCAAGUGAAUCAGCUAUAGACAAAGGGAGGGAGGUUCAUGGUGUGGUUGUGAGAGUUGGGUUUAUGGUGUAGUUAUGAGAGUUGGGUUUGAUUUCAAUAGGUUUUUGUGUAGUUCUUCGCUGAACUUGGUUUGUCAAAAAAUUGAGAGUGUAAGGCAGGUGUUUGAUGGAUUCACAGUGAAGGAUGUUGUUUUCUGGAAUACUAUGAAAAUGGGUUAUGCUCGAAACGGGAUGGGUUUUGAAGCAUCUGAUGGUUUUAGGGAGAUGGUGGAAGUGGGAGAGGUUAGACUGAAUGAAGGUGCAACUUUGGCAUUGAUAUCGACUUGCAUAUAUAGUAUCAGAAAACUUGAAAUUUGGGAGAGAGAUUCAUGAGUUUUUAGGAUAUAUGUGAGUUUUGGGUUGAGUGUGAAAGGGGGAGCUGCAUUGGUUGAUUUGUAUGCAAAUUUGGCUGUUUGGACUAUUAUGCAUAGAGUGUUUGAGGGAAAGCCUAAGAAGAAUGCUGUGGUGUGGAACACUUUGAUAAGUGGCUUUUCCUUUAACGGGCUUUCAAAUGAAGCAAUUGAUCUUUUCAGGGAAAUGUGUUGUUUGCAUGCAAAGCCCUAUAAUUUCAUGAUUUUAGGCUUGUUGUCUGCUUGUGCUCAAAUGGGUGCUGUUAAUAUAGGAAAUUUGGGUUCGAAUAGUCUGGGAUAUGUUUAUUGGUACAUCUUUGGUAGACCUGUAUGCAAAAUGUGGUUCUAUUGAAGCAACAAGAGAAGUGUUUGAUCAAAAGGAUAAGAAAACUGUUGCGACAUGGAACGCUAUUCUUUCUGGAUAGGCAUCAUAUGGGCAGGCUGGAUCUGCAAUGAAGCUUUCUGUUGAGAUGAGAAAAUCAAGUGCCAUCGUAGAUACAUAACCUUCCUUUCAAUUUUACAUGCUUGUGCACAUGCUGGUUUGGUUGGGAAAGGUAAGCAAUACUUUGAUUUGAUGGUGCAAAAUUAUAAGAUAGCUCCUAAAGUUGAGCACCAUGGCUGUAUGGUUGAUCUUCUUAGGCGCGCUGGAUUUCUAAAGAAGCAAAGAUGCUUAUUGAGAGGAUGGAUAGUGAACCAAAUGUAAUUGUAUGGGGAUCACUGUUUAAUGCUUGUAGCAUUCAUGGAUAUUAGGGUAGAGUGGGCGGCUGACCAUAUAUUUGACUUAGAAGCAAUAGGCAGGUGCUCCUACGUGCUGUUAGCAAAUAUGUAUGCUGCAACACGAAGGUGUGAUAGGGUAAAGCAAUUAGAGAGGCAAUGGUUAAUGCGAGUAUUUGUAAGCUACAUGGAUAUAGCAUAAUCGAGAUUGGAGAUGUAGGUCAUGAGUUUCUAGUUACUGACAAGGCACACCCUAAAUCAGAAGAGAUCUACUGGGUGUUGGAUGUAUUAAGCAACAAGCUCAAGAUGGCAGGCUCGAUGCGAUUGUCUGCUCUAGAUGAAGGGUAUCUGGAAAGCAGCCGAGCGACAAUGAACUCCUAGAGAGAUUUUCUAAAAAUGGGAAGAUCAGAAAAGGAGGGAAAGUGAUCGGAGCAGUUUCCUUUCUAGGGGCAUUUGGAUUUGUAUGGAACAUUCCAGAUUCCGGAGAUGGACACAUGAUCUCAAAGAGUAUUUGGAGAUUCAUUUCAAGAUGGCCUUCUAAUCCUUCAUGGAACAUGGUGUUAUUACAGAACAAUUUUAUUGUCAUUGACAUUUCGUUUAAGUGUUGCUGCCGAGGUCAGCAUUGUGAUUAAUGAAAAACUUGAGAAGGACAGAUCACUAUCCAAAAGCUCGAAAGAGGUGUGUGGACUGGAAACGAAAGGAGUAAAACCGUGGUUGAUACUGGGUUCUAAAUUAUCUAUAUGGUUGAUGAUGAAUUGAGAACUCAGAAGCAACCAUUCCAAUUGUUGUAUCUAUCAGGGAUCAUAUGCAACCAUUUAAAUUGGAAUUAUGGUUUUGAAUUGUGGGAAUCACAAGUUGAGGGACCAGAUGUGGCAGGCUGGCAGCUCUGUUAUACUUCAUGGGUGGUGCAAUCUUUCCUCAUAAUCCCAUUACAGUGAUUCUACGACUUGCAGUGUUUUACUCUCUUAUUCCCAUAUUUGUUUUAAGGAGGGAGGGGUCGACUCUUCGGAGUCUCCCUUGGGUGUCCUCCGCUUCGACAGAUUAACCUGCCAAAGAUCGCACCUAUCACAGGAUAUUACGGAGUUUGGUCCGUACCCCGUUAGCACUAAUGUCUGCCUAGCAUAGAUUGCAACCUCGCUUCCCGGCUGCCUACAUGGGUCUCUCUUAUAAAUAGUCAAGUUAAAUAAGAAGAUCAGUUAUCACUAUUUUCCUACUGAAACUCCCUCUUAUUCGGUUUCUCUCAAACUAUUUUUUACUUAGGCAUCGAAGGUCCUUUGGCAAACACCCUUCCCUUUUGGCGAAAAUUUGCAUUCACAAAACCAGUUAUGUGUAUCUUGCAUGAAGCAGUUGUUUUAUGAUUCACUUGCAUUUUUACUAAGAAUUGAUUCUAAAAGCACUUUUACGAAAAACGUUUUCAAUCAUUUUAAAAACAUUUUCUUACAAAAUUUAUGGAACAUCUGCUGUAUAUUUUAGCUAUGUAACCCCUGUGAAACCUUGGAGAUGAUUCUAACACACAAAAAGACAGAGAGGGGAAGGAAGAGACACGGUCGACGAGUAAGGGAUUUUAUCUAUUUAUUCUUUUAUGUAAAUGAUUGAGGCAUUGUGUGUCACAUUCGUCGGCAAACUAUAUCAAGAAAAAUAUAAAAGAAAAUCCGUAGACACUUGUACAAGAAUAUCGAAUCAUGCCUGCAAACGUGCUCUUAAAUUUAUAAGUUAAAUAAAAAAACAAAGCAAUCUUAAAUUUAUAAGUUAGAUAAAAAA